rnacentral:rRNA from 1 species
AAACUUGCCCCGAGAUGAGUUCUCCCUGAGACUUUAAGUAACUUGCCCCGAGAUGAGUUCUCCCUGAGACUUUAAGUCUCCUGAAGGAACGUUGAAGACUACGACGUUGAUAGGUCGGGUGUGUAAGCGCAGCGAUGCGUUGAGCUAACCGAUACUAAUGAACCGUGAGGCUUAACCUU